AGUGAACGCUGGCGGUAGGCCUAACACAUGCAAGUCGAACGGCAGCACAGGAGGGCUUGCUCUCUGGGUGGCGAGUGGCGGACGGGUGAGGAAUACAUCGGAAUCUGCCCAGUCGUGGGGGAUAACGUAGGGAAACUUACGCUAAUACCGCAUACGACCUUCGGGUGAAAGAGGGGGAUCGCAAGACCUCUCGCGAUUGGAUGAGCCGAUGUCGGAUUAGCUAGUUGGCGGGGUAAUGGCCCACCAAGGCGACGAUCCGUAGCUGGUCUGAGAGGAUGAUCAGCCACACUGGAACUGAGACACGGUCCAGACUCCUACGGGAGGCAGCAGUGGGGAAUAUUGGACAAUGGGCGCAAGCCUGAUCCAGCCAUACCGCGUGGGUGAAGAAGGCCUUCGGGUUGUAAAGCCCUUUUGUUGGGAAAGAAAUCGUUCAGGCUAAUACCCUGGGAGGAUGACGGUACCCAAAGAAUAAGCACCGGCUAACUUCGUG
rnacentral:rRNA from 1 species